GACCGAUCCCGCGUAAAACCCCUUCGACGAGUCGAGUUGUUUGGGAAUGCAGCUCAAAAUGGGUGGUAAAUUUCAUCUAAAGCUAAAUACCGGCUGGAGACCGAUAGCGCACAAGUAGAGUGAUCGAAAGAUGAAAAGCACUUUGGAAAGAGAGUUAAAAAGCACGUGAAAUUGUUGAAAGGGAAGCGCUUGCGACCAGACCUGCCCGUUGGCGAUCAACCGCCGUUUUCGGUGGUGCAUUCGUCAGCGCGCAGGCCAGCAUCGGUUUGGGCGGUCGGACAAAGGCCUUGGGAAUGUAGCUCCCCUCGGGGAGUCUUUAUAGCCCUCGGUGCAAUGCGGCCAGCCCGGAUCGAGGACCGCGCUUCGGCUAGGAUGCUGGCGUAAUAGUUGCAAGCGACCCGUCUUGAAACACGGACCAAGGAGUCUAACAUCUAUGCGAGUGUUUGGGUGUCAAACCCAUGCGCGCAAUGAAAGUGAACGGAGGUGAGAACCCGUUAGGGUGCAUCAUCGACCGAUCCUGAUGUCUUCGGAUGGAUUUGAGUACGAGCAUAGCUGUUGGGACCCGAAAGAUGGUGAACUAUGCCUGAAUAGGGUGAAGCCAGAGGAAACUCUGGUGGAGGCUCGCAGCGGU
rnacentral:rRNA from 1 species